rnacentral:tRNA from 1 species
AUAAAAAUAAGCUAAAUAAGCUUCUAGGUUCAUACCCUAUAUAUAAAGAUUUUAAUUCUUUUUUUUAUA